UUGAACGCUGGCGGCAGGCCUAACACAUGCAAGUCGAGCGGAUGAAGGGAGCUUGCUCCUGGAUUCAGCGGCGGACGGGUGAGUAAUGCCUAGGAAUCUGCCUGGUAGUGGGGGAUAACGUCCGGAAACGGGCGCUAAUACCGCAUACGUCCUGAGGGAGAAAGUGGGGGAUCUUCGGACCCCACGCUAUCAGAUGAGCCUAGGUCGGAUUAGCUAGUUGGUGGGGUAAAGGCCUACCAAGGCGACGAUCCGUAACUG
rnacentral:rRNA from 1 species